CCUACGGGAGGCAGCAGUGAGGAAUAUUGGUCAAUGGGCGAGAGCCUGAACCAGCCAAGUAGCGUGCAGGAUGACGGCCCUAUGGGUUGUAAACUGCUUUUAUACGGGGAUAAAGUGAGGGACGUGUCCCUUAUUGUAGGUACCGUAUGAAUAAGGACCGGCUAAUUCCGUGCCAGCAGCCGCGGUAAU
rnacentral:rRNA from 1 species